rnacentral:tRNA from 1 species
CAAGGAAUAGUUUAAGAAAGAAUUUCAGCUUUGGGUGCUGAUGGCGGGGCUUUUUGCUUCUUCCUUGA